AGUUGCUCGUUGGCCCUGGUCUUGUCCUCCACUUCUUGUGACUUCUGGUCGUAAUUGACAGCCAGCUCCUCCAGGGCCUGGAGGACUUCUUUCACUUCGUCUUUAGCUGCCUCAUUUUCGAUCUGGAGGCGUGUCAGCUCCUCCUGGAUCUUCUCAUAGUCCCUUCUCGUGGAAGCCAGGAGCUGGGGCAAGGAGAAGGCCAGGUGAGUGCACUAAUUAUAUGUCAACGACCUGCGCUCUCCCUGCACAAAGCAAUUUUAAAACCAGAUCCGGGAGAACAAGUUGGGAGCAGUCAGAUUGUGGAGAACUCUCACCGUGUGUUACAGAUGCUAAACACAUUUUCAAGUGUUAUUUCAAAAAUCUUUUCUCUUUUUUACCUUUUAAGAAUUUUAUGCUCUAAGUCAGACUGAGACACACACACACACACACACACACACACACACACGUACACCAGGGCACUACAGCUGGUUGGCUUUUUCAUGUUAAACAAAAGAUGGGAGAACUGCUUUUAAUGAGUGGCAGUACACUGGCAGAGCCGCUGGAAACAGUGCCACAAUUUCAUAUUGUAUUUAAGUUCAUUUCAAAAUCACCCAAACAGUACUUGAAAUGAAGUUACUUUCCUUUACUGUUUAUCAGAACUGUAUAGAAGAAUAUACCCUAAAAUCUAUACACAUGGUAAAAUGAGGUCCUGGGUUUGUGGAUGUUUCAUGUAGCUGUUACCAUUGUUAUUGUCUGAUUUCCUUAAUGGACAUUUAUCAGUUUGCAAGGAAAAAAUAUUAAAGUCUGAAUGGUAACAAAAGGAAUUGAUCCAAGGCAGCUGAACCACUCUUGGAGAUGCAGAGUACAUGUGGAAGCGGACAACAGGGAACAUAAGUGGCCACAACCACAGCUAAGGAGAUAACUUAUCUCUUUAACUGGCCCACUGGGGCUGAGUGGCGUCUUUCGGGCCCACGGAGAUGGGGCGCCUGCUCUGAACCACAGACCUUAUCAUCGAGCUGUCGGUACAAACUGGUGAUCUCCUCGUCAUACUUCUCCUUCUCGGCAGAGAUGCCGUCCACAACAGGCGUGAUGUUGUCUAUGAUGGGUGUGUUGUCACAGGGCUCUAGGCUCUUCUGGUCCUUGGCGCUGAUCUGUUCGUCCUCGGGUACAGCUUCCCCUGAGAAAAUACAGCAAGCAGGAUGCUGAGAACUAAAGAAAUCAAGCAUGCAACCCUCCAGGAAGAGCUCUAAGAAUUGCCGCUCCCAGUGACAAAGACACAGCAGACACAACAGAGAGUCCUUGUGUAGAGCUACAGUCCAUUCUUUCUGCUUGGGAAGAAAGGUGUAGCUAAUCGACCACUGUUAGACCAAGAAUGCAUGGCAGAAAUCAAACGGCUGCACUGGCCACAGAGCUCAUCCAACUGCUCCAACCCCAGCACUGCCUGCGAGCUCCUGCAUACAUGUUUCCUUUUGUGGAGAAAUACAUUAGUGCUUUACUAGAAUCAUAUUCUCUCUAGUCACCGAUUCAAAGGGAAAUAGACCUUUGAGGCACCCUAAUUACCAAUUAAUUAUGUUACUGUGUCAUUAGUAGAAACAGCCAAAGCAAGGAACACAGCGCCACUGUUUAACCAGAACGCUGUGGGACUCCACUCCUCCCAAACUCAGACUCUUGGGAGCCGGUGGAAGUUAGGGCAACCUGGACUCAAGGACUGGAUCGGUCCUUCGAGAUCAGGAGCUCCACCACCGCACUCUCCCCGCAGGAAGCCCAAAUUAAUUGGCUCUGCAGGAGAGUUCAAAUAGAAUAAUUUCUUGUGAUGUCAGGUAGUCUCAG
rnacentral:lncRNA from 1 species